rnacentral:rRNA from 1 species
UGGGGAAUAUUGCAUAAUGGGGGAAACCCUGAUGCAGCGACGCCGCGUGAGUGAAGAAGUAUUUCGGUAUGUAAAGCUCUAUCAGCAGGGAAGACAAAGAACCGAAGGUUCUCCGACGGUACCUGACUAAGAAGCCCCGGCUAACUACGUGCCAGCAGCCGCGGUAAUACGUAGGGGGCAAGCGUUAUCCGGAUUUACUGGGUGUAAAGGGUGCGCAGGUGGCAGGGCAAGUCAGAUGUGAAAGCCCGGGGCUCAACCCCGGUACUGCAUUUGAAACUGUCCGGCUGGAGUGCAGGAGAGGUAAGCGGAAUUCCUAGUGUAGCGGUGAAAUGCGUAGAUAUUAGGAGGAACACCAGUGGCGAAGGCGGCUUACUGGACUGUAACUGACACUGAGGCACGAAAGCGUGGGGAGCAAACAGGAUUAGAUACCC